CCCUUCCCUAAAGUUCAUGAUCAACUUUGCUGUCUUCUCCUUUUCCCCACCUCUAAGAGUGGCAUGCCCUAGCACCUUGUCCUUGAAACUGUAUUCCAUCCACUUCAAACCCUAAGGAACCUCAUUUCUUUUAAUAGUUUUCUGUAACUUACUAACUCCAGAUUUUGAGCUGUGAAGCCUUUUUUGGGAGAUUGAGGCUGUCAACCUUGACGUUUAACAUAAACUCCAUCACAUAUUUGACCAAUGACUAGCUGUUCUGUGGUUGUUUGAUGUUUUGCAGGAAAAGCCCUUCUGUUGCAGUGGAGGCCCACAGUGAAAAUAAAUCAUCUCAGGACGCCAAUAAUACCGUGCUGAUUCAUGGCCCCAUAGAGCUCGUAAGAGGCUGGAGGAGGCAGAAGGGGCAACUCGUCCCAAACAGUGAUACAUUGCUUACAUCUAACGUCAAGUAUAAAAAGAACUUCAAUAUAAAAUAUAAAAUCCCACUGAACACCGUGUGGACUGCCAACUGUACAGACAAAAGAAGGGGAAGCCAUCAAUGCACGCAAGUCCUUUGCUUGGGCUGGCCCAUGGUGAACUUCGUGGCCACCUUUAAGUAAGACCUACAGCUUGGUCCUGAUAUUACAUGAGUUAUAAAGGAAAACAUUUAAAUUGGAUUAUAUACUAAUUGGAUUAUAUACUAAGUCAGUGACUCACUUUCUGACCUCCCAUAAUGACAUUUGUAUGCCUUGUACUCUCCCCCCAAAAAGGUUUCUAUGUGCAAUUGAUGAUAAAUAGGGGGAACUACUGGAAGACUGUCCUUUAGUUUUGAUCAGUGGUUUUUCAAAUGGGCUAUAGGAGCCACCUGGGGAGUUGGACCUUCAUGAGUUCAUGGUGUUCGUGUAAGUGGAAGGAGGAUCAUGAGAUCAGGUCUCCAGGGCUCCUCUCUAACAGCCUGCCCCCGAUGCCUGGGGAGUAUCUGUGUUUCUCAAUCCCUGGAAUAUCUUUCUUGUGCAAGUACUAUUAAGUAGUCCAGUUACAUUUGAAAAGUUGAAAAGUUUACACUGCCAAGUUAAUUCCUUUGAAGACAGGAUUUACUUACAGAAAUAAAGUGAAUCAUGCCAUCAAAUAUUAGACUUUCUGAAUUGCUGUGUACAGAUUAUCUUACCUGGUGUCUGUAGACAGGUGAUCAUCUUAAAACAAAGGUAUGAGUCCAUGGAGUACAGGUCAGUUUUCCAUGAAACAUUCUUGGUUGGAGUGAGGAUGGGGAACAUGGCCAUCCUGAGUCGACACUCCUGGGUUCACAGGGGUCAUGCAACUUUCACAUCUGCCACCUAGAACAACCACAGCCCAAGUCACAUUCUUCUUACGCACAUCUAGUGUGCAUAGCACGCACUCAACUCUUUUCUUGUCCUUCUCACACUAUGCUACCAAAAUCUCCUGUAUCAUCAUAAAGACAAUUAAAAUGUUGCUGAGUCAUUAAUUUAUAAAACUAGAGUGCAGCUGUUGACUUAAGGAAAAUUUUCAAAGCUUUUUGGGAAGAACCAUGUAUUUGUCUCAUUCUCUAUAUAUUUUCUUUCAAUGAAUUAUUUCUCUAAAGAUUAACAGUUGCUAUUGUUUAGUAUCUUUUCCAAGUUGCAGGUAAAAGGAAGCACUUUCAUUUGGGAAUAUACAAAGGUUUUGAUAAGGGAGUGUCCAAGAGGCAUUUUCCCUAGUGACGGGGGAAAUGUAGAAGCCACGUUUACAUGUUAUACUGGUUCAAAGGCUGCAUAUAUACAUAUAAGGCAGUAACAACGCCUGGCACCAAGGGCCUUGGCUAUUUGCUGUUUUACUCUUCUGCAGAUUGGCCUGAGCUGUGUCCAUGGACAUAUGCAGGGUGGGGAGCUAAGUGGGCAUUGUUUCCUGAUGAAUCGGGUACUGAUAUGGUGACAGGGAAGGCAAGUGCAGUGUUGCUGGUAGGAAGAUAAAAUAUGGCAGCCCGUGCAGAACAGUCAAGAGAAAUAAAAACAUACAUCCACACAAAAAUUUAUACACAAUGUUCAUAGCAGUAUUAUCCAUAGUAGCCAAAAAAAAAAAAA